rnacentral:piRNA from 1 species
UGGACUAUGUGGGAAGAGUCUCCUGGACAC